rnacentral:piRNA from 1 species
UAAAAUCUUUGAAAUCAGUUG